rnacentral:lncRNA from 1 species
AUGCCAUCAUCAAGGCACUACCAUUCUGGUAGAAUUUACUCACCAACUGGUUCAUCUGAUCAGUGGACUGGCACAUCAGGGCAAUGGUUUUCAAGAGAUGUGAACGUCCAGAUAUACGCUCUGAGUAGUGGGCCGGAAGAUGCCACAUCAUUCCCAAUACUAUGCUGUCUCUAACACAACUGAAAUGGGGUGCACCACAGAGCAGAUCACUCAUAAUGGGCCACUUACUGAACACUUGUCACCUGGACACAAAUGAGAAAUCCAGGAAAGCAGAAAUGUAAAUGCCUUACCACUAAGACACCAAUAUUGGAAAUCAGAAAUGAGAAGACGGAGGAGAUUUUGCCCUUCUUCACCCAUGAAGGAUCCUAAUGAUGCCCACAUUCCAGCCAAGAAAGAAGAUCACCAAAUUAUCAGAAAAAUCUUCUCUGGAUUCUUCUGAAGAGCUAAGUGAACACCGCAGUGGAUUUCAGCCACCGUCCCACACCUACAAGAUGUCAAAAGCGCCAAAUCCCAGAGCCUAAUGGGACCUCUGCAGUAGCCAACAUCCCAUAUGCAUAAAAGAACCUUAUAUAGUAGUAUCUCCCCAGCAAAGGGACUGUUCUUGGAAGCCAAACCAUGCUGCUUCUAGAUCCGUAUCCAUUAUCAGCAGUAGAGGAGACAGAGACAGUGCUAGGAGGAGGAAGGACUUAGAGAAAAAGGAGGAGAGCAAUAGAGAAAGGCAUCUGAGUUCCUGUUUAUACCAGUUAUCAGUGAACUUAAUAUACCAAUGAAUUUAAAAUGCACUCGGGGGAAGUUUCCCAUAAAUAGGUUAACUGCAAAAAUAUUCCCACAAGUAGUCAGACUGCCUCCUCUGAGGACAGUGCCUUCAGAAACACUCUUUUUCUGACUAACUUUAGAAACUCUAAAUGCCAGCAACUCUAGCCUGCGGGUCUUCCCCAAGGCCUUCUUACUCUCUUUAGCAUCCUUGAUAAAUAUUUAAAGAACGCUUUCUUAACCUUUCUCUUUGGCUUCUGCAUUCUUGAUACCUUAAUUCUGAAUUGAAAAAGAUCUCUGGUCUAGGACAAUCUUUCUGCCCGUGAGCGUUUGUAACAGAAAGCUCUCCAAGCUAUGCCCAUGGCUUUGCGUUUCCUGGGAAAGGAGGGAGAAAGGAAAAGCAAAUGUUUCAUUCAUCAGUGUCUAAAAGGCCCAACCUGAGCCUCUCAGGAUCUCUGCCUCUUCCAGGGCAAGUCUGCUUGGCCCCAGAGGGAUCUGUCUCCCUCCAACCAGAUGAGAUGCACGGAAUCUAUGGUCCACCAGACAGUACUUAAGGAUGCUGCCUUGCCCAACCUGUGAACAAGCCUCUCUCCAA